UACAGAGGUCUCAAGCGUUGUUCGGAUUCAUUGGGCGUAAAGGGUGCGUAGGUGGCGCCGUAAGUCGGGUGUGAAAUUUCGGAGCUUAACUCCGAAACUGCAUUCGAUACUGCGGUGCUUGAGGACUGGAGAGGAGACUGGAAUUCUCGGUGUAGCAGUGAAAUGCGUAGAUAUCGAGAGGAACACCAGCGGCGAAGGCGAGUCUCUGGACAACUCCUGACACUGAGGCACGAAAGCUAGGGGAGCAAACAGG
rnacentral:rRNA from 1 species